rnacentral:tRNA from 1 species
GCACUGGUGGUUCAGUGGUAGAAUUCUCACCUUCCAUGUGGGAGACCCCAGUUCAAUCCCAGCCAGUGUA